GAUGAACGCUGGCGGCGUGCCUAAUACAUGCAAGUCGAGCGAACAGACGAGGAGCUUGCUCCUCUGACGUUAGCGGCGGACGGGUGAGUAACACGUGGAUAACCUACCUAUAAGACUGGGAUAACUUCGGGAAACCGGAGCUAAUACCGGAUAAUAUAUUGAACCGCAUGGUUCAAUAGUGAAAGACGGUUUUGCUGUCACUUAUAGAUGGAUCCGCGCCGCAUUAGCUAGUUGGUAAGGUAACGGCUUACCAAGGCGACGAUGCGCAGCCGACCUGAGAGGGUGAUCGGCCACACUGGAACUGAGACACGGUCCAGACUCCUACGGGAGGCAGCAGUAGGGAAUCUUCCGCAAUGGGCGAAAGCCUGACGGAGCAACGCCGCGUGAGUGAUGAAGGUCUUCGGAUCGUAAAACUCUGUUAUUAGGGAAGAACAAAUGUGUAAGUAACUAUGCACGUCUUGACGGUACCUAAUCAGAAAGCCACGGCUAACUACGUG
rnacentral:rRNA from 1 species